rnacentral:rRNA from 1 species
UACGUAGGGUGCGAGCGUUGUCCGGAUUUAUUGGGCGUAAAGAGCUUGUAGGCGGCUCGUCACGUCGGGUGUGAAAACUCGCGGCUCAACCGCGAGCCUGCACCCGAUACGGGCGGGCUAGAGUUCGGCAGGGGAGACUGGAAUUCCUGGUGUAGCGGUGGAAUGCGCAGAUAUCAGGAGGAACACCUAUAGCGAAGGCAGCUUGCUGGGACGACACUGACGCUGAGGCGCGAAAGCGUGGGGAGCGAACAGG